UCCUAUGACAGGUUGAGGGAACUGGGGUUGUUCAGAUUGAAGAGAAGGCUCCAGGGAGACCUCAUUGUAGCCUUCCAGUACUUGAAGGGAGCAUAUAAACAGGAAUGGGAAUGGCUAUUUACAAGGGUGGAUAGCGAUAAGACAAGGGAGAACCAUUUUAAACUGAGACAGGGAAGGUUUAGGUUAGAUAUUAGCAGGAAGUUUUUCACUCAGAGGGUGGUGACAGAAUGGAACAGGUUGCCCAAGGAGGUUGUGGAUGCCCCAUCCCAUUCAAGGCCAGGCUGGAUGUGGUUCUGGGCAGCCUGGUCUGGUGGUUGGUGACCUUGCACAUAGCAGGGGGGUUGAAACGAGAUGAUCAUUGCAGUCAUCUAUGAUUCUAUGAUUCUAUGAUCUUUGUGAAUGAAGUCUAAGAGUUGUUUUUUUUUAAUCUUAAUAAAAUGCUAUGUUUCUUCUGUUUCUUUUUCACUAAAGGAGAACACUAAAGGAACCCAGGCAGAGAUUUUCUUCAGCUGCUUUAUGAUAGAGGUAUCAGAAUUGAACUGGGUGAAAUACUUCUUAAUAAUCAGCAAGUCAGUGAACAUGGGAGAUCUUACUGAGCCACAGACUAUAUUCUUGAAAUGUUUCUACAUAUAAGAAGGAAAGCAUUGAUGAGCAAUUAAAAAAAAAAAUUCUAUGCCCUUCAAGAGUAAGCAGUUUCAAAAAAGAUUUGUAUAUGCUUCUUGUUUUCCCUGCUUUAAAUACAUUCAGUAAAU
rnacentral:lncRNA from 1 species